UUUAUGUGCUUCCACCUUUAUGGUUAGGGUCUCGGUAUGAAAACUAACCUUCCUAAGUCAGGAGCGUAAUUUGAAUUUCGCGUGGAGCAACGUAUUACCCCAGAAGUGCUCUCUAGGGUUAAUUGUAUACAACAUUUUUAUAUGGGUAACUGCUGAUUCAAGAUCUAUUUUUUGACCUAUAUAAGAGAGAGAUUUGCAGAAGAAAAUAAAUAUACCAAAGUAUUAAGGAUCAAACAUAUUCUUGAUGUACUCGGGCCGCGAGGCUGAGCAAUAUUCUAAGGAAAGUAUUAUACAAGAUACAAAGAUUGGACAAUAUCUUCCCUUGUCUUUCAUUGACAAUUAUCUGAGUUUUGAAGAUAUGCUAAAAACUGAUCAAAGAGCUUUCAUGCAAGUUGUAAACAAGGUUAUGUUAAUUGGAGGGAAACAUGAAAAGGAUUUUAUUAGAAGAAGUUUGAGUGCUACAUUUUCUGAUGACAGCCUCCAUGUGUUCAUGGACUGGCCAAAAAAAUAAUUAUAAAAUUGGAGAUACGCGCACAAUUCUGAGCAUUAAAAAAGCUUUUAGAGCAAUAUUCCCUCGGAAUACAGAAAAAGAUUUUGAACACUUUAUAAUGGAGUGGUUCAGAUUCGCAAACGUCCGUAAGGAAAAAAAAACAUUAAAAAGGAAGUGAUAAAUAUAUUAUUUUACUUGCGUAGCUCCGCGUGAGUGAUUAUUAUAGUAACAAAUUUUUUUAUUUGAAAGAUGAGUUUUAUCCCAAAACCUUCCGCUAGGAUCAGUGAUUUUCACCAAAGAUAUUAUUGUGAUAAACUGAAAACUGCAAUAUAUGGUAUAUAUAUAUUAUUUUUAUAUAAAUAAAACUUUUUUAUGAUAAUUAGUAAAUUAUUCCCCAAUUGAUUGCAAAUUAGUAUAUAACAGGCCUGGGCAACUUCAAGCUCCGGAGCCACGACACUCUUCUACUUUCCGUGGAUAGAAAAGAAGUGUCGUGGUUCUGGAGCUCAAAGUUGUCCAAGCCUGGUCUAUAAAAGCAAUCUAAAUAUUAAUUAGACAAUAAAUAUUGAGGUAUUUUAUUACUAUUGCAUAUUUA